AGAUGGUGAACUAUGCCUGAAUAGGGUGAAGCCAGAGGAAACUCUGGUGGAAGCUCGCAGCGAUUCUGACGUGCAAAUCGAUCGUCAAAUUUGGGUAUAGGGGCGAAAGACUAAUCGAACCAUCUAGUAGCUGGUUCCCUCCGAAGUUUCCCUCAGGAUAGCUGGAGCCCGGUGCAGUUUUAUCAGGUAAAGCGAAUGAUUAGAGGUCUUGGGGUUGAAACAACCUCAACCUAUUCUCAAACUUUAAAUGGGUAAGAAGCUCGGCUUGCUCGGUUGAAGUUGGGCAUCGAAUGCCGGGGCUCCUAGUGGGCCAUUUUUGGUAAGCAGAACUGGCGAUGUGGGAUGAACCAAAUGCCGGGUUAAGGUGCCCGAAUCGACGCUCAGCA
rnacentral:rRNA from 1 species